rnacentral:misc_RNA from 1 species
UCGUAGGUGGUGGUGUUAUGAGAACAAGAUAUUCAUCAAUACUUAGUUUUUUUCUAUUUAUGUUGUGAUAUUUUAUUCAUUUGUAACAAUGACCUAAUUAUAAUACUUAAAAAUUAAAUUAGUAGUAAUAUGGGUGUAAUUUGUCAAUAAUACUAAUAAUUUAGAGUGAUGACAUUGAAGAAGAUUGCUAAAAUGUCAACAAAAUCACAAAUAUCCUCAGAAUUAAAUGACAGCAUUAGUAAUGUCCUAGGGAAAAAUGUGAAAAUAUUAUAUAAAUCCUUAAUUCGCAUGGAAUCGAGAGGAGACAAAGUGGAUAAUCGAGUUUUAGUUGUUACAUCAUAUAGAAUAUUUAUAACAACAACAAAAAUCCCAACAAGGAUUGACAAUGGAUUUCACUUGAUGGAAAUAGAGGCUCUGGAGAGCAAAAAGGCAAAUCAUCUAUCAAUAACACUCAUUCAUGAACAUAAGCCUGUAUCUAUUCUUAUUGGUGAAGAAGGAUCGCCGGAAGGUGUUAUUAAUGCAAUACACGCGCUAACGGCCGCGUUUGAUGACUUAUUUCCUAAUGUGGCUAUGGAGGACAUUAUAUCCAAGGUGAAUUUACCAUUCCCACUGCAAGCCGUCUGCGGUACGCGAAAGCAUUCAACCUGCGGUGACUUUUCUAAUCAAUAUGCAGCAAUGUGUGAUCUUUGCCAAACACCUUUUAGGGCCGAAGUUGCAUGGGACAUUGAUACAAUAUAUUUGGCGCACGAUAUACGAUUAUUACACCUUAAAGAUUUCGACCAUUUAGAUCAGAGGGAUUUAAUACCGCUGCUGAUAGCGCUGCAACACAACACGUGGUUCACGGGCGUGUGCGGCGACGGCGUACGCGUCGGCAGCGAGGCGUGGGAGGCGCUCUCGCGCGUGCUGCGCUGCGCCGCGCCGCCGCCGCAGCAGCUCAGCUGGCGGGGUGCGUCGCUGCGGCACGACCACGCGGCGCGGCUGGGGCACGCGCUGGCCAGAGCGAGGACGCCGCCUGCGAUGCACACCAUAGACUUGUCGCAGAACCAUAUAGAGGAUAAGGGAGCCAUCAGUGUACUAACGGGCCUAGCAAACAACCCAGAUGGCAUACGCCACAUAGCCCUGUCGCAAUGCGGUCUGACCGGGAAGACCGUAUCGCACCUCGCCUCCUUGCUCAAUGACAAUCUGUGCCAUCUCAAUACCUUGACCCAUCUUGAUUUAUCCCAUAAUAACCUUAAGGAUGACGUACAUCACCUGUAUAAUUUUUUAGCGCAGCCCAAUGUAUUGACGCAUUUAAAUUUAAUUAACACGGAAACUACGCUAGAAAAUAUGUGGGGUGCCCUAUUACGUGGAUGUGCGGCACGACUUUCAGCGCUGUAUGUGGGGCGAAACCCCUGGGCAAUAGGGCGAAGGCCUAGAGAUCCGCCACCAUCAUUUCGACAGUUUUUUACUGCGUGUUUGGCUCUUACGGAUCUGGAUUUCUCAUAUUGCAAGAUGCCGCCUGAUGCACUUAAGAGCCUCCUACUGGGUCUGGCGUGCAACGAGAGCGCGGCGGGCGUGAAGCUGAACGCGUCGGGCGCGCUCGCGUCGUCGCAGGCGGCGCACGUGCUCGAGUCGUGCAUACACGGCGUGCGCUGCUUGCAGUCGCUCGACCUCUCCGAUAAUAGUAUGGAAUUUGAGUUAUCUGGAAUUGUAAGAGCAGUAGGAAAAAACCAUUCCAUAACGCAUUUAUCUUUAAGUAAACUAACAGGAAAGAGAUCGUACGCCCCACCGCUAAUACAGGCCUUAGUUCAUGUUUUACAAGAACCGGACACAGCUUUAACAUCUUUGGAUCUCAGCGAUUGUAAGCUUAAGGGUGAUUUAUACGGAUUAUUGAACGCGUUGGGUGGAGCACGACGCUUGCGCACUUUGGACGUGUGCGGCAACCUGGCGGGCGACGCGGGCGCCAGGCUGCUGGCAAAGGCCUUGCAGUGCAACUGCACUCUGCACACCCUGUAUAUAGAUCGGAACGCGUUUAGCUUGCAAGGUCUGACGGACAUAGCGACGGCGCUGCGGCGCUCGGUGAGCGUGCGGCGCGUGGAGUUCCCCGCCAGCGACGCGGCGGCGGGCGGCCGCGGCGCCAGCGAGCGCGUCGCCGCGCUCUGGCGCGACCUGCACGAGCGACUCGCAAGCAACAGCGCGGCGUCCCAAACGCACCGCUUGCGGGCUCUAGCGCUGGAGCGCGCGUGGGGCGGCGGAGAAGCGGGCGCGGCGCUCGCGGCGCAAGCGGCUGGAGCGCUGCCGCCCGCGCCGCUGCCGCAGGCGCUGGAGCGCGCUGCAGCCGCUGCACACCACCUCCUGCAUCAGUAUCUGCAGCGCUGCGGCGAGGUGUUCGCAGCGAUGGGCGGUACCAAUGCUGCGGGAGAACUAGUGCCUCUUCAAGCUGUACGUGACGCGCUGGCACCCAGCUCCAAUACUCUGCAGGACUUGCUCAAUGAGGCGGUAGAAAGUAUGGCGCUAGCGGCGUGCGAGAGCGUGGAGAGUGCGGACAGUGAACACGCAAUCAAUACCGAUCCGGACAUACCCGAUUUGCUCACACCUAUCUCGCAUUCUGGGAAAUUGGAUUAUUUGAAUUUGGCGACGCCGCUGGGCGGGCGGCGGCGCGAGCGCGGCGGGCGGCGCGUGCGGCCCAAGUCGGUGGCGGAGCAGCAGUGCAGCAGCAACGAGAUGCUGUCGCUGCCGCCGCUGCACGCCGAGGCGGCGGACGCGCUCGCCGACCUGCCCGCGCACAAGCUGCGCCACCUCGUCAAGGGGCGACCACGACGUGUAAAAACGAGAGCGCCGUCACGGCCCAUAACGGACCAGUCCCAAGACAUCGACGAAGGUCUGGAGGAGUUCUGGCGCACGUGCCGCACGCCGCCCGGCAGCGAGGAGGCGUCGUCGCUGUCGGCGCGCACGGCGCUCACGUCGCGCUCGCUGCACUCGCUGUCGUCGCUCGCGUCCGCUUCGCCCGCCUCGCCCGCCUCGCCCUCGCCGCUGCGCCACUCGCCCACGCUGCGCCGCGACGACACCAUGUACAGUGUAACAUCCGGUGAAAGCACGCCAGUGUUAUUAGAAUGCGAAGUAUCUCGCUGCAAGUCUUCCGACAAUGUGGGCACCAAAGCUUCGUCGUCUACGCCACCGCCUUCCAGGUCUUCAGAUAAUGUGAACGCGAUGGAAGGCGUGGAGGCGUGCGUGGGCGGCAGCAUCGUGGGCAUCACGCCGGGCGCCGCACUAACCAGUAACCAACUUUCUGACGCUAUCCUAUACUGAGCCCUAGGGCAUCUAGCGUAGCAAUAGCAAGUCCGUGUUAGGUUCAAUGUUACGAGAUCAUCCACUAACUCCAGACGGCGGUGAGGCUUGAAAACUUUCGGAAUGGGUCGAAUGGGCGACGUGAUAAUGAGCAGGGUUAUCGGUACUCUCAGUAUUGGAUGCUCACUGAUGUGCCACUUAUUAGCGUAGGACGUACACAUUUGGUAGUCGACACUAGAGCAGGAUAGCUUCACGAUAGGUACUGACUUACGUUAUUUGACAGUUUUAAUUCAACUAUAUGGCUGUUUGAAUUGAAUACAUUUAUAUUGGUUCCGAUGGUGGAAUUGUACAAUAGGGUAGUCGGUAGUCUUAUUGAAGAGAGUGAUGGUCAACUUCAUUGUUGGUAACCAUUAUCGUAUGAAGAAAUAUUUGUAUUUUGUUUGUCUUGGGAGUAUGUUUUCGUGUGUAUUUUGGAAUAUGAGGAAAAAUGAUUAUCCCUCGAUCAUUUAACCAUUGUUAAAACAUAAAUAAGUAGGGGUACUUGCAGUGAAUAAUAAUAAUAUAAAAAAUAUGGGAUUUUUACUGAACUGUACAAAUGUGCUGUAACUGGAAUACAGUUGAAUUAAAGCUGUCGAAACGUCGUUUAAAAUUUAAAUAUUUCAAAUAAAGUUAAAUUCUGGAGCUGAUUCGUAUUUAUAAAGACUAUGAAUGGAUUUUCUACUACAUAUUUAAAUCUGCGUUGUAUUAACCGUUAUGAAAUUAUGAAAUUCUUGAAAUGAACGAGAUUAACUAGAAACAUGCAAAUAAUUUUCCAUUUUUAUUUAGAAGUGUUUACCAAUAAAUUAAUAGAUAACAAAACGAUAACUUUACCAAGGAGUAUUACGGCACUUAUCUAUUGACAUGAAGUUCGGUUAUAAUAUUUAGAGAUAAGUUUUUAUUUAAUAUUCCCAAUAAUCGUUUCAUAUUUACUGUGAUUUGUUUAGUGUUAAUUAAAAUUGAUUUAUAUAGCCUAUUAUAUUUAAUCUUGUGUUAUAUACGUAUAAGUUAGAAGCACUUUUAAAUUCUUUACACGUGUAGUUAUAAACUAAAUGAGGGUCGCAUUACAUUUUCAAAUUGCUUAGCUCGGUUUUUAUUUAUAUGUGUAAUUUGAAAGUAGUCAUUAAACGUUUCAACUUAGCUUGUACCGAUAGCUAAUGUAAUAUUUUACGUAACGAGUAAAUAUACCUCGUGAUUUGAGACCUCGGUACAAGCAUAUAUAUAAUAGUCUUCUACAAAGGGCUGCCAUGAUAUUUAAAAUGAUUAAAAAAAUAACAAAUCGGUCUUUCCUAGUCAUGUUAUUAAGGCCUAUGAAUUACGCACAAUUUGUUUAUCGUACAGGGGUUCAAUUGUAAUAUUUAUUUGUUUUAAAAUCUUCCAAUUUAUACAUUCCGUAUUUGUUGUAUGUACAGUUUAAGCGUUUGAAAAUUAUGAACGAGUGUGAUUUUUAAUAAAAGUUCAAAAUAAUAACUCGAAAUGUCAUGUAAUGUUCAAUUUUUACAGUAAUAAUAGAAUAGAGAACACCCCAUAAUUUUAAGUGUUCAUUAGAAUAACUAUUUGUACAAUCAAUUAUUCGUAUUCGUUUAUCUUCUGAAAUAAGGCUGUCUUUUAUUGAAAUUUCAUAAACAUAAAAUUACUUACCUAAGUAGAUUCUAUAUAGUAUAAUAUUGCUAAAUUAUUUAAUAGUAUUUUUAUAUUAAUUCCCGUUUAUUUCAUUUAUUAUCUAGCUCUUUGGUACCAGACUGAUUUUAGGUACAUUUAUUUUAUGGUGCAAUUUAUGUCUAGAGCGUUGUGAUAAUCUGAUUUUAAUUAUAUUAUACAACAAA